UACGUAGGGGGCAAGCGUUGUCCGGAGUUACUGGGCGUAAAGCGCACGCAGGCGGUUUCACGCGUUUCCGGUGCCAGCUCGUUGCUUAACGACGGGAGUGCCGGGAAGACGGUGGGACUUGAGGGCCUCAGAGGGACAUAGAAUUCCGGGUGGAGUGGUGAAAUGCGUAGAUAUCCGGAGGAAUACCAAAGGCGAAGGCAGUGUCCUGGGAGGUGUCUGACGCUCAGGUGCGAAAGCCAGGGGAGCGAACGGGAUUAGAUACCCCGGUAGUCCUGGCCGUAAACGAUGACCAUUAGGCGUGUGGGGUAUCGACCCCCUGCGUGCCGAAGUUAACACAUGAAAUGGUCCGCCUGGGGAGUACGGUCGCAAGAUUAAA
rnacentral:rRNA from 1 species